rnacentral:lncRNA from 1 species
GAAAUGACUUGUACUGGGCUUAUUUUGAAAAGGAUCCAGAAAGAAGAGGUAGACUCAUCCCAGAAAUGAUUGCAUCCCAACUAUAAGUGCCUCUGUCUUGUACCAACACUCUGUCCUUGUGAUAGAUAUGGUCAACUACCACUGCUCAGAGAAUGAACUGAUAGGGCAGAAAAGGAAAGAUACCAUGCUUCAAACAAGUAAUAGCUUAAGAUCCCAGGAGAUAGAAGUUUUUGUUUUCUGUCCUUGUAUAUAGCAAAUUCCAACUGUCUCCUUCUUAUGCACACUUGAUUCUUGGAUCCAUUAUACCAUAGGCAUCCUCACUUACUAAUGCAUCUAGCUUUUCAAGUAAUAAGAUGUUAGGAAGAAUGGGGCAGUAAGGAACACAUAUACUUGAAUGGGCAGAAGGUCCUAAAUUAAGUCCCCAGAAAUGGACUUGCCUUUUGUCCCUAUAGAAGCCCCUGAAAUGACUCAUUUUCAAUGGAAAAACAAAGAGAGAAAAGAAAGAAUUGAAGAAUCUGCAUAUUUAAGCAUCUGCUUUGAUAAUUGCAUGAUGAAAUUUAGAAUUAAGUAACAAAUGACGCUCACACUCUCAUGCUCAAUACAAUGUCUUCAUUUGGUUUUUCAUUCUCAGACAUUUGUAAGUCAAGGGCAUGUGGUUUUUAAGACCCUGAGCUUGUUGUUUUCAGCUAAUUUGGUUCCUGGUGAGUCAGCUAGGGGUGGGUAAUGCCAAGUUAUUGAAGAUAGCCUUACCUCCUCAUUAUUUUCUCCCAGAGGCAUCACCAAUGGCCUCAUAACAGAUGAAACGGUUUCAAGACAAGGAACACAAACCUUUAAGACUUCUCAAAGCCAAGGCUAAACACAGGCUAAGGGCUCCUUUUUUUGUUUUUACUAUGUUGGCUACAGCGAGUCACAAAUUCAGUUCACAUGAAGGAAAUGGACACAUGGAAUCCAUUUUUCAUUUGGAAUGCUAAAGAGUAAGUGCUCAAAAGAGAGAAGAUGAAAAGGGAAGAACAAAGAACAGGAAUUAUAAUACUUUUUCAACCUUCCAUGCCUACAGCUGCAAUAGUAGAGCUUAAUGGUCAUUUACACUUAGAUUAGAUUAAAUUUUGCACUGUUGCCUAUUCUGGCAGGUUAUCUACUCAGACAAUAGCACAACAUAACAGAAAGACAGUGAUCCACCAGACCAUACCCAUCCAAAAAUGGCUUGCUUCUUAUAUUGUCUUGUUGACUGGUCAAAUUCAAUAUUGAAAACAAGGCAUUUUUAAAUAUAUGACAUGUAAAUAAUAAAAUUUCAUGGAUAACAACACUGUUCAUCAUCCAUUGUAAGGCAAAAAAGUCAUAAAACUUGAAUUAACUGUUUUGUUCUUUAAUUCAAUUCCUUCCUUUGUCCUGUUACGUUUAAGUUGCAUUAUGGAUUUUGUAUUUUCUUUUGCCUUUCAUCUUGGCCUUAGACAGAUUUAUCUAAGAGUCAUUGUUAUAGAAUAUGUAAAAUAAUGAUUUUAACUUUCUACUAAUAGAAUUUGAAAUAUUCAGAAUUGAUAUUUUAAAUUAGGUGUUUAAUCUUUUUUAUAUUUAUAAAAAGUUCUGGAAAAGCAAUUAGUCAAGGAAAAGAAAUAGUAUAUGAUUUUAUUUCUACUUCCCUUUGUUUGUAAUGAGACGCUAAGAUCAGUUCAAAUUAUCUGCCUGUUGAAGAGAGGUACAUUAAAUAUUUGUUGACCUAUUUUAAAACCAUAUAGAUGUUGGCCAAAAUUUUUGUCCUAACUCGCUAGUAAUCUUUAUAGUAAUAUGAAGUAUGGAAUCGUGGUUUGAAUGCCCUUUAACCUUAGACUUUCAUUUUGUAUCAUGGCAGUAGAAUUUCUUUUUUAAGAAAUUUUAUUUUAUUAAUUAUUUUAAUUAUUUAAAUUCCAAAUGUCGCCCCCUUCCUAGCCAUCACUCCACGAGUUCUUCACCAUACCCCCUACUUUUGGCUUAAUUUCUAAGGAAUGUAAAGUUGUAGACAUUAUGCCUCAGUUUGGAUAGAUCUUAUAUUUCUUCAUGAAGAGAUUGAGUCAUUGAUAUGUUAAGUCUAUUAAAGAGGCAAUAUUCUGACUACAUCAUACAAGUGGCUUCAUACUAUCUACUUUCCUCAUUACUAGUGACAUUAAUUUGAAAUUUCAAUAAAGUUAGUGACUGCUGAAUUUGCUACCAUGUAACUAGUAAUUUUUCUUCAUAAUUAGCAUGAAACUAUUGAAGUCUUGUUUUAUUAUCCUUUGUGACCUUUUGUGUUAGCUAAUUUGAAACUAGGUAAAUACUGUAUUGUUUGUUAAAUUUUAAAAUACCUGCCUUAAAAUUAUUUUUUGUAUUUCUUGACAAAUAAUCAAUGCCCUUUAGGUUUCAUUUUGUAUCUAAAUUUUUUCCCUGUAUUUUACGAAGUCUUUUCUCUGAGUGUCAGGAAGAAUUUGGCACCCAUGUGCCAUCAACUGCCAGAAUAGGAAAGAGUUUCCUACACUAACACUUACAGCAUACAUUAAAUUCUUCUUUCUUUCUUCUGGCCAUUGUUAUUCAUAGAAUGACUGCAAGUUUCUUGUUGAAUUUUAAAUUAUUCAUGUAUUUUUUUAAAUUGAAAUUAUUUGUAUAUUUUGGCUCUUCAUGUUAUCAUAGCUAUCAUAGAGAAUUUAGAGUAUAUAUGAAACAUUCUUUUGAUAGUAACUUACUAAACUAGAUUGCUAUUAAGAUUGUAUCACUUUCAAUAAGC